UAUGGCUUANCCAUAGAACUGCUUGGGAAACUGGUAAUCUAGAGUGAGGGAGAGGCAGAUGGAAUUGGUGGUGUAGGGGUAAAAUCCGUAGAGAUCACCAGGAAUACCCAUUGCGAAGGCGAUCUGCUGGAACUCAACUGACGCUAAUGCGUGAAAGCGUGGGGAGCAAACAGGAUUAGAUACCCUGGUAGUNCACGCCCUAAACGAUGUAUACUAGUUGUUGCUAAGCUAGUCUUGGCAGUAAUGCACCUAACGGAAUAAGUAUACCGCCUGGGGAGUACGGUCGCAAGAUUAAAACUCAAAGGAAUAGACGGGGACCCGCACAAGCGGUGGAGCAUGUGGUUUAAUUCGAAGAUACGCGAAGAACCUUACCCGGACUUGAUAUCUAACAAAUCAUCUAGAGAUAGAAGAGUGUCUGCUUGCAGAAAUGUUAAGACAGGUGCUGCACGGCUGUCGUCAGCUCGUGUCGUGAGAUGUUGGGUUAAGUCCCGCAACGAGCGCAACCCACGUCAUUAGUUGCUAACAGUUCGGCUGAGCACUCUAAUGAGACUGCCUUCGUAAGGAGGAGGAAGGUGUGGACGACGUCAAGUCAUCAUGGCCCUUAUGUCCGGGGCGACACACGUGCUACAAUGGCAUAUACAAUGAGAAGCAAUAUCGCGAGAUGGAGCAAAUCUAUAAAAUAUGUCCCAGUUCGGAUUGGAGUCUGCAACUCGACUCCAUGAAGCCGGAAUCGCUAGUAAUCGUAGAUCAGCCAUGCUACGGUGAAUACGUUCCCGGGUCUUGUACUCACCGCCCGUCACACCAUGGGAGUUGAUUUCACUCGA
rnacentral:rRNA from 1 species